rfam:Ovis aries breed Texel chromosome 1, whole genome shotgun sequence.
UCCCUGGUGGCUCAGAGGUUCAAGCGUCUGCCUGGAAUGCAGAAGGCCCGGGUUCGAUCCCUGGGUUGGGAA